rnacentral:rRNA from 1 species
ACACUCCUGCGGGAGGCAGCAGUGGGGAAUAUUGGACAAUGGGCGCAAGCCUGAUCCAGCCAUGCCGCGUGAGUGAUGAAGGCCCUAGGGUUGUAAAGCUCUUUCACCGGUGAAGAUAAUGACGGUAACCGGAGAAGAAGCCCCGGCUAACUUCGUGCCAGCAGCCGCGGUAAUACGAAGGGGGCUAGCGUUGUUCGGAUUUACUGGGCGUAAAGCGCACGUAGGCGGACUAUUAAGUCAGGGGUGAAAUCCCGGGGCUCAACCCCGGAACUGCCUUUGAUACUGAUAGUCUUGAGUUCGAGAGAGGUGAGUGGAAUUCCGAGUGUAGAGGUGAAAUUCGUAGAUAUUCGGAGGAACACCAGUGGCGAAGGCGGCUCACUGGCUCGAUACUGACGCUGAGGUGCGAAAGCGUGGGGAGCAAACAGGAUUAGAUACCCCGGUAGUCCCAUG